ensembl:lncRNA
UGUGUGUGUCCCUGAUGGAGAGGGUUCUUGAAAAAUGGUGGCAACUUUCAGCAUAUUUAUUGGUAUUGACUGUGGGGGUCAGGACAAAUAGCUGCUGUCCUUCAGGCGAAAGAACUACGCUGACUUUACCGACUGUUUCCCUCUCUUUGUAAUCAGUGUGGAACUGAGGCUCCGUUCUUAUUUAACCGAUUUAGCAUCUUUUCUGCUAUUUCCUGUUGAACAUCAGCAGAGCGCGUUGACACCGGCAGAAGUAAUCUGACCUACGGGAACAUGCCUUGUGAGGCAGCGCCAGUGAGAGUUUGACCUCAGGCAUCCCGAUAGCGUGGUGUGUGUGCUGUGGCCGUGCUGGCUGACACCAUUUGUCCCCUGAGAGAUACAAGCCUGCAGCAGAUGUGAGGCUCAAUGUGUCAGCUCAACCUCAGGGGCAAGAAAAAGAGAAGUUGAAACUGGUUUCUUCCAUCUGAGAUGGCCACAGGCGAAGAGCAAACACACUUGGUCAAUUACCGUGGCUCAGAUGAUGCAUGGUAUUGCCAUUUUCAGGUCAAAUUUUAGAGUUAGUAGGAACUUUUCCAUGGGCUUUGUACAACAAUAUUCCACUGCGCACAGUGAGAAGUUUGAACACCCUUCGUUUCAGCGUCUAAUUUUGAGAUGAACUUGUAUCUUUCUUAAAAAAACAAAACAACAAGACCACCAAUAGCAAAAGAAAACCACCGGCCCCAAACUUUCACCUUUCUUCUCAGGUAAGACCUGUUUUCUUACUCCACUCUGUGGGAAAACUAAGAAUACGUUAGCUUAUUUCCAACUGUGAUUUGCUAAACUGAAGCUAAAGAUGGAAGAAUUCCAAACCUAGCAGUCUGGACCCUCUCAAACUAUGACUGGGGCCAGGGAAACAAGGUACCAGACAUCAAAACUUUGGAUGCUUUUUUUCUUUUCAUGUAGUAACUGAAACUCAGUUCAUCUUUCUCUGCUUCCACGUAAUACAAGGAAAGACAUUUGAUUAGAUUAUGUGAGAUACUUUUUAAGGCAGAUGGAUUCAACACAUGGCUGCAGGACCAGGCUUUAUUAUCUCGACUAACGUGGACACAUUUUGAACACUGCUUCUCACUCUGCCAUCAGCCGCCACCACCUCUGCAGUACUGUGACAGCAAGAGAAAAAGGACAGGGAAGUGAUAAAGUUUGCACACGUAAGCAGAAAAGAACUUUCUGUCCAAAGCCAGCUGGCUUGGCUUGGCACUGAAGUGGCAUUUUAGCACAAGAUGACACGUUUAUGCGUGUACUGGAGCUAUGUUUCAAAACACUUGCCCUAGAUGCCACAGGAAGGGUCUGUGAAAUAGUUUAUCACCAAGUAACCAUAGAGAGCAGGUGAGCUGUCUGAAUACCAGUUUGUCUUCUGAGCUGGCAGACAAAUGAAACCACAGGAAGGAAUCAAAGCAAAUAUGCUGCUGCUUUUAAUAAUUAGAAUUGAGCGUAUUUUCAGGGAAGUUUUGGGAAAGCAUGCGAUAAUCCUAUAUCACAGCCAAGAGGACAAUACGUCCAUUAAUAAAUGCCUGAUACCGUUUGCUCUGAUACAAAACUCAGAAAUGCACACCAGCCAAUCCAUGUUAACACAGGUCAUUUCUUUAAGUCUUGUUUUCCAAAUUAGAGCAAACCCGCCAGCAUAAGAUGAAUGGGCAUCUUGCCUUUACCUGAUAAAGUGCCUGAACGAUUAGGGAGGCUGAUGGCUUCUAUAAAUCCUGUGGGACACAGAUCAGUCAUCCCACGUGUAACCCCAAAGAAAUAACUGAAAAUAAAUCACAGCAACAUUUGUACUUUGGAGUCUGGAUACCAUCAUAAAAUGCCAAAAAUGCACCUUGUAUACUGCCCAAGUUUAAAGAUUAAACUUUAUUUCAGAAGUUAACUGCUAUAAAAGUUUCUUUGCUAUAUGUUGCACAUUAUAACAGAUCACGCAGACCUUUUGUGGGCUCUGUGUGUGAAGUUUACAAGACCAGGACAGUAGCAUAUGUCUCGUGUGCAAUUUGAUCAAUAGAGUUUACAGCAAAACAGAUCAAGUCUAGGAAAAAUAAUGCUUAGAUUUACAUGUUAAGAGCAGCACUUGCUGUCUGCAGUGGGAGCCAAGGAUGCUCUGAGCAAGACAGAAUUACCUGCCUUUCAAGAGUUCCACAAGUCAUUUGUCACGAGGUCCCACCAACUUCACAUCUACUUUAAAAAGCAGUUUGAAGACUUUUUAGGUAUUAUGGUCUCCUAUAUCUAUUUCUGUCUCUUUUGUUUCCUAACAGCAUGAGAUACUGACCACACAUACUGCAGUCAAAUAUAGAAAUUAAACCUACAGGAAAAAGGAUGUCUUCUCUUUAAUCUCUUGGAGAAUUUUCCAGACUAAAGCAUAGUUCUUAAAUUGAUAAUAUCCCUUUAAGAAUUUAUUUGCCAGGUAAUGUUAGAAGAAAAAAGAGAUUAGGGCUAGUUUGAACAUUAGAAAGGCCCUUUUUAAAAUCAAUUUCAAGUCUGUAUUAGAGAUGAGCGUUGUCUGAACAUGCUUCCAGCAGAUAAAAUAUAUUCUGCACCUUAGGAACGCAAAUAACUUGAAAAUCCUUGAGACUCCCAGCUCUUUGCAAAAAGGUCAAACUCUAUCCUAAGAAAUAUUUCAUUGCAUAGAAAUAAUGGUUUAGUGUUGCCGUAUAUGAAAGUCAGAAUCUGUAAGGCUACGAAGUUAAUAACAGAUCAAGGGCUGAAGUUUUUGAAUAAUGUAGUAAAUAUUUCUUAAAUGAGUGAAAUGAUACGAUACCACGGGAAGAGAGAAAUGCGUUUUAAUAAAGAAAAUAUUGAAUGUAAGAAUAUUUCUUUAGAUCUACCAUGCAAUCUGUGUGUUCUCUAUGAGAUGUCAAACUACACGGUGCAUAUGUACACUGCGCUCUCUAUAAAUAUACAUGUGCAUGACAUAUUUCUGAAGGCAGUAAAUGAAUGCUGGGGAAAUACGGCAACAAUGAAGUUCCUAAGAGAAGGUUAGUUUUUCAAGUUAUUAAAAGAAGGUGGCAAGCAUUCAUGAGGAUAUGAAAAUUUAAAGCUGUCUGCAGGAAACUCUGAAAACCUCUGGUUAAGGCUGCUGCCAAAAAAUCUCAGCUAUGUUAUGUCAGAAUAUUUAAUUGCAAGCUGCAAUUUUAAUGAAUGGAAAGAUAUGGCAAAAGGAGGAAGUUUUCUGCAGCAACACAGAACAGCCAUGAAAAUAAAAUGCCAAAGGUUGUAAUCUUGGACGCUGUAGGAAUCAGGAAUUUCCAUCCACGUUCUGACUCCUUUUCCUACUGUGAGAGUUUGCCAGCUGCCUGGCUGAAGGGAGGUAAGCUGUUCUGGAUAUCAUCUCCUGGGCUCAAGGCAGCACUUGUUAUGUCUAUGUGAAGAAGUCAACUUCUGUGCAUUUGUUGUUACGGAUGUUUACCGAAAUGCAGCUUAGGAAUAGGAGAGGAAAAGCAAAUGUCAGAGUGCAUUAAAUAACGUAUUUUCUUUACUUUCCAAGAAGCUUGCUAGCAGCAUGAUGUUACUAUUUAUAACAGAUCUCUUAAACCCAGCUGUUGGUUCAUGUUAACAUGGAGAAUGGUGAGAAAACCCCAGCAGAAGAGUGUGAAUCCCAGAGAGACUUGUCUUCUGUCAUUGUGAAGACCUAGAAAAUAUCCCAAGUUUUGCUGAGGUAUGGAUCAGUCAUGCAGCACACGAGGCGUGCCAUGCAAAUAUUUCCUGUGGUGAUCUCUGGCAUUACAAGGCCAGCAGCAACACAAAACAAGAAGUACCAAAUGCUGCAAGAAGCAGGUUCAGAUGGCACAGCCUGAGCCUGUGGCUGGAAAAGUCUGAAAGAGAGAAAGAGAACUUCUACCUGUAACUCAAAACUAGCAGAUAUACUGUACACCCACAUUACAGCAUUCUUAGACAAGCUGCAUCUGAUCUAAUCUUAUGUACCUUGGCCACAGGUUCUGGAAAAACAAAUAUUCCCAAGGCAAUCGGAUUACUGAAUGUACCAUAUAACGAUGUGGAAAUAUUAGUGGUUUACAGAAGGCAGUUUAUGAAGUGGAUUGAGUGAAUUUAAUUCAUGCACUGUCAGGCAAUUUGGACUUAGAUAUAAUCAUGUUAAGAUUUCCUUAUUUUAGCUGUCUUUGGUGGAGCACCAGAGCCAAAUAGUAGCGUAUGAGCAAUACUCCCAACUACAGACAGACAGGUCAUGGGCAUUUGAUCCAAGCCAGCUUUGAGCAAGUGCAAAUCUGUGUCUGCACUGGGGUGGAGUGGGGGGGGGGGUUAAUAGGGUUAUCCCAAGUAUUAGUGAAAAGGAACCAUUAUCUCCUCCUCUCUGGCUUCCUGAUCCGUAGGUAGGAGUCUCCCCUUCUCAUAUCCUUUGUUUCUCAUGAAAGUUCCCAUCCUGAAAUGCUACGAGUACAGUUUGGUUUUGUUGCAAUAAGUGGUCCUGUAAAAAAAAAAAUCUUCAUUCACAGAGUACUUCCACCACUGUAAGUGAAACAACGUUAGGAAUUAAUCUAGCCUGUGAUUUUUAAGAAACCGUGUUCUGAAAAGCUUGUUCUCAGACCCUUCUUCCCUGUGAAGGAUAACUUAAUUGUUUGACAAAUAAGCUAAAGCUACAUAACAUUCCCCACUCAUCCAGUUUUAAAAAAUCCUGCGUUGUUUUUUAAUGCAAAGUUCACCUUUAGAAGCAUGAGAUCUAAUAUUCUUUUUCUCUAGAAUAAAGACAAAAAAAGCUCUUUUCUGGAAUAUAAGAAAUAUUUGAAAAGGAAGAGUGGGGAGCAGCCACGGCACUUCACUCUGGAGUGCUUUGUGAGAAGGUCUGAGGAUGUAAGUUAAAAGAGCAGAUACGAUUUUGGUGCUGCUGUCUCUAAAACGCUUUGAGUGGGUGGGUGGAAAUGCACUGGAAUAGAAAUGCACAGAAAAGCCUUAUUGCUGGAUGGUAACUAAAGAGCCUCGCAGUUGAACAGUCAAGAUUACGACUACUGUUGUCUUUUUGAAAUCAUUUUUUCCUUAUUGUUUUCUUUAUUUUCUGUUUUCUGGGUUUCCUUUUCCUUGUAGGAUAUCAUGGAAAUUACACUGGCAUGUUGUUUGGCCAGGGAAAGAGAUUUCAGAUGGGGUUCUUCAGUAGUUGAUUUUUUACUUCUUAGGAAUGAUCCUGGCAGAUCCUUGUGAUAAUUUCUCUAUUGUCAUAUUGGCACACAAGCAUGAUAUUCUCUGGGGCUUUUUUAUGUUGCUGCUUCUUUGGCCAGAAAUUAAUUGGUCUUAUAAAGAUUUUUUUUUUUCCCUUCUUCUUUCUUUCUUUAUUUUCCCUGUAGCGUGGAUUUGCUUUAGUCACUGACAGCUUUGCAUCCUUUGGAUUAUCCAGGUGUAUUUUGCCUUUGCAGUUGCCCUGGAAAUGAAACCUAACCCAGAACAGGGCCAUCACGCCACAGAGUGAUUUCAGUCAUUUUAAUAUAGAAAUCCUUCCGUGGUUUUAUUUGUGCCCACCCUGAGGAGUGAUGUUUUUCAUUUGUGCUGUUCUGACAUGUGAGAACAUCUGUGACCUACCUCCCACCUAUUCUUUUUCACUCGCUGUCCCAAAGGGGGUUGCAGAAGCAGAAGUAGCAGCAAACCAUUGGGUAUGGAAAACAACAUCAGUAAUUUCAAUUGGAUGCCACAUCUUGCACUUCCUUUUCUCAAUUGUUACAUAGGCAGCAUUUCAAUUGAGAUGAAUAUGUUUUAGUGCUCUACUCUCCUUAACUAUUGUUUGCAAGGGACAUAUACAAAUCCCUUGAGCAACACAUGCUAUGCUUAUUUUUCUAGUGCCACUGAAACGGAGCAAUUAUUUAUCUCUUUGGCUUCCUGCUUUAUUUUUGCCAGCUUAGAAUAAUAUGAUUACAUAGUGAAAAUAAUCAAUGAGCAUAACCAGAAGUCCUUGCUCAGGGCUUGGUUAUUCAGGCUCCUACUGACUUUAGAACUUAAAGAAUUCGGGAUUUUAUCCAACGUCUUCUCAGCCUGUUAUGCUCAAGAGCUGAUUUCAUAGUAUUAAUUUUUAUAAGGGCUAUGGAUGAUAGAGUGAGGAACAAGAGCAUAAGCUACAUGCAUAUAAAAAUCAAUGCUCUUCGGACUGUUGGUGUUCAGAAAUGUAAGAAAGUGGUAUGUAUUUUCAUCUCUUAUUUAUUGCAGGUCAAUAGUAAUCAGCUUGGAAAUAUGACAGUGGGUGGCAGUGAUCUGUUUUGUGAUUACUUUCUCUCCCACACCUCCUGCUCGUUAUUUCCUAGAUCCAUGGAAGAACCUGCGUGCUGCUCUGAAGGAAAGGUGGAUGCCCUCACAUUAGGAGAUAGAUAAAUACUUUCCAAAUGAACUGUAUGGUACAGAUUUUGAUCUUCACAGCUGUGCGUUACUGCUUCCAGUUGAGCCCAAUAAUUGCAAACAGACAACAGAAAUUUGCGUUCAUUUUUCAGAACACAUUGGAGGCUCAACGUGUUCCCAUCCAGCGGUGCGCUGAGCACGACUGGAGGUGGUGGUGUGUCACUUUCUGACCAUUUGGGGACCUGACUGUUUGUAGCCCAUGGGUGAGUCUCUGUUUUCCAGUGGCUGCAGCUCUAAUUCUCACGUCCCAGAGCAGAGCUGGGCGCUGCUGCCCCACACAUACAGCUGCGGUGCUCAGCUCUGCAUUCUGCACUCUUUGCCACAUGCUGCCGGACAAGAGGCAGAGCACAAGUAACUUCUUUGGCAAGUAACUUUUUAGUGGGAGAAUUUUAUUCUGGGGUGCUCAGCUGCUGCCUUCUGUUGUGGGGGAGAGAUGCCAGUUUUGUAGUGGCUUUGGUUAGCAGUUGCUCUUUACUCUUUAAAGCAAAAGUAAUGGCAAAUAUGCCACGCUGAGCAGGGCGAAGGUGAGAACGUUGGGCCUUCGUGGGUUCCUCAGCCGAAGCUGUCCUUGAGGCAGCUCUGCGGGCCGCAGCCCCUCUUCCUGGGGCUGGACGGGGGCCUACAGGCCGUGACGAGGCGG